rnacentral:rRNA from 1 species
GGGUUGUGAGGUUAAGCGACUAAGCGUACACGGUGGAUGCCCUGGCAGUCAGAGGCGAUGAAGGACGUGCUAAUCUGCGUAAAGCGACGGUAAGGUGAUAUGAACCGCUACAGCCGUCGAUGUCCGAAUGGGGAAACCCGGUGCACUCAGUGCAUCAUUGCAGCAUGAAUACAUAGUGCUGCAAGGCGAACCGGGGGAACUGAAACAUCUAAGUACCCCGAGGAAAAGAAAUCAACCGAGAUUCCCCCAGUAGCGGCGAGCGAACGGGGAGCAGCCCAGAGCCUGAAUCAGCUUGUGUGUUAGUGGAAGCGUCUGGAAAGUCGCAGGGUACAGGGUGAUACUCCCGUACACAAAAACACACAGGCUGUGAGCUCGAUGAGUAAGGCGGGACACGUGGUAUCCUGUCUGAAUAUGGGGGGACCAUCCUCCAAGGCUAAAUACUCCUGACUGACCGAUAGUGAACCAGUACCGUGAGGGAAAGGCGAAAAGAACCCCGGCGAGGGGAGUGAAACAGAACCUGAAACCGUGUACGUACAAGCAGUGGGAGCCUCUUUAUGGGGUGACUGCGUACCUUUUGUAUAAUGGGUCAGCGACUUAUAUUCUGUAGCAAGGUUAACCGUAUAGGGGAGCCGCAGGGAAACCGAGUCUUAACUGGGCGUUAAGUUGCAGGGUAUAGACCCGAAACCCGGUGAUCUAGCCAUGGGCAGGUUGAAGGUUGGGUAACACUAACUGGAGGACCGAACCGACUAAUGUUGAAAAAUUAGCGGAUGACCUGUGGCUGGGGGUGAAAGGCCAAUCAAACCGGGAGAUAGCUGGUUCUCCCCGAAAGCUAUUUAGGUAGCGCCUCGUGAACUCAUCUUCGGGGGUAGAGCACUGUUUCGGCUAGGGGGCCAUCCCGGCUUACCAACCCGAUGCAAACUGCGAAUACCGAAGAAUGUUAUCACGGGAGACACACGGCGGGUGCUAACGUCCGUCGUGAAGAGGGAAACAACCCAGACCGCCAGCUAAGGUCCCAAAGUCAUGGUUAAGUGGGAAACGAUGUGGGAAGGCACAGACAGCCAGGAUGUUGGCUUAGAAGCAGCCAUCAUUUAAAGAAAGCGUAAUAGCUCACUGGUCGAGUCGGCCUGCGCGGAAGAUGUAACGGGGCUAAACCAUGCACCGAAGCUGCGGCAGCGACACU